rnacentral:rRNA from 1 species
AACGAACGCUGGCGGCAUGCCUAACACAUGCAAGUCGAACGAGACCUUCGGGUCUAGUGGCGCACGGGUGCGUAACGCGUGGGAACCUGCCCUUAGGUUCGGAAUAACUCCCCGAAAGGGGUGCUAAUACCGGAUAAUGUCUUCGGACCAAAGAUUUAUCGCCUUUGGAUGGGCCCGCGUUGGAUUAGCUAGUUGGUAGGGUAAAAGCCUACCAAGGCGACGAUCCAUAGCUGGUCUGAGAGGAUGAUCAGCCACACUGGGACUGAGACACGGCCCAGACUCCUACGGGAGGCAGCAGUGGGGAAUAGUGGACAAUGGGCGAAGGCCUGAUCCAGCAAUGCCGCGUGAGUGAUGAAGGCCUUAGGGUUGUAAAGCUCUUUUACCCGGGAUGAUAAUCACAGUACCGGGAGAAUAAGCCCCGGCUAACUCCGUG